CACGCACUAAUUAGAUCUGUUUUUCUAGGCUACAAAGUUUAUGCUAUAGAGGGCGCUUUUCUUAUUCGCACUCUGUGGUGUAACUGUAGCCUAGCAACAUUUAUGUUGUUUCAGUGGAAAUGCAGAGUCGAAUAUGCGUAAAAUCAACAUACCUCCAUUGCUGGAUUUAUGGUCUCAUGUGAUUGGCUCACAACAUGCUUGAAUGCUUGUGAUCUAUACACCAAGCAUGAAACCCUCCUGGCAUGGGGACAUU